GUUCUGGUGCUUCGUCGCGUGGGCAACACCCGUUCUCAUUCCGAACACGGCAGUUAAGCCACGUUGAGGCGAUGAUAGUCGCAAGGCGAAAGUAGCUAGGCGCCAGAACU
rnacentral:rRNA from 1 species